rnacentral:rRNA from 1 species
AGGAUGAACGCUGGCGGCGUGCCUAAUACAUGCAAGUCGAACGAGGUAGCAAUACCGAGUGGCGAACGGGUGAGUAACACGUAGGUAACCUGCCCUUAAGCUUGGGAUACCCAGAGGAAACUUUGGCUAAUACCGGAUAACAACAGAGAAGGCAUCUUCUUUGCUUGAAAGGCCCCUUCAAGGGUCACUUAAGGAUGGACCUGCGGCGCAUUAGCUAGUUGGUGAGAUAACAGCCCACCAAGGCGAGGAUGCGUAGCCGAACUGAGAGGUUGAUCGGCCACAUUGGAACUGAGACACGGUCCAAACUCCUACGGGAGGCAGCAGUAAGGAGUUUUCGGCAAUGGGGGAAACCCUGACCGAGCAACGCCGCGUGAGCGAUGACGGUCCUUUGGAAUUGUAAAGCUCUGUUGUAAGCCAUGAAUGACAGCUUGAGGAAAUGCAAGUUGUUUGACGACAGCUUACCAGAAAGCCACGGCUAACUACGUGCCAGCCGCCGC